UGCUGGGCAUAGCUCAGUCAGUAGAGCAUGAGACUCUUAAUCACAGGAUCAUGGGUUUGAGCCCCGUAUUGGGCAA